AAUAUUGCACAAUGGGCGCAAGCCUGAUGCAGCCAUGCCGCGUGUAUGAAGAAGGCCUUCGGGUUGUAAAGUACUUUCAGCAGUGAGGAAGGCGGAGUCGUUAAUAGCGGCCUCGUUUGACGUUAGCUGCAGAAGAAGCACCGGCUAACUCCGUGCCAGCAGCCGCGGUAAUACGGAGGGUGCGAGCGUUAAUCGGAAUUACUGGGCGUAAAGCGCAUGCAGGCGGCCUGUUAAGUCAGAUGUGAAAGCCCGGGGCUUAACCUCGGAAUUGCAUUUGAAACUGGCAGGCUAGAGUCUUGUAGAGGGGGUAGAAUUUCAGGUGUAGCGGUGAAAUGCGUAGAUAUAUGGAGGAACACCAAUGGCGAAGGCAGCUUGCUGGACAGUAAUUGACGCUGAGAUGCGAAAGCGUGGGUAGCAAACAGGAUUAGAUACCCUGGUAG
rnacentral:rRNA from 1 species